rnacentral:rRNA from 1 species
GACGAACGCUGGCGGCGUGCUUAACACAUGCAAGUCGAACGGAAAGGCCCUGCUUUUGUGGGGUGCUCGAGUGGCGAACGGGGGAGUAACACGUGAGUAACCUGCCCUUGACUUUGGGAUAACUUCAGGAAACUGGGGCUAAUACCGGAUAGGAGCUCCUGCUGCAUGGUGGGGGUUGGAAAGUUUCGGCGGUUGGGGAUGGACUCGCGGCUUAUCAGCUUGUUGGUGGGGUAGUGGAUUACCAAGGCUUUGACGGGUAGCCGGCCUGAGAGGGUGACCGGCCACCUUGGGACUGCGAUACGGCCCAGACUCCUACGGGAGGCAGCAGUGGGGAACAUUGCACAAUGGGCGGAAGCCUGAUGCAGCAACGCCGCGUGCGGGAUGACGGCCUUCGGGUUGUAAACCGCUUUCGCCGGUGACGAAGCGUGAGUGACGGUAAUGGGUAAAGAAGCACCGGCUAACUACGUG